rnacentral:rRNA from 1 species
GCAUCCUGGGGCUGGAGAAGGUCCCAAGGGUCCGGCUGUUCGCCGGUUAAAGCGGCACGCGAGCUGGGUUCAGAACGUCGCGAGACAGUUCGGUCCUCUAUCCUCUGUGGGCGUAGGAAAAUUGAAGGGUUCAGACCUUAGUACGAGAGGACCGGGUUUGACGCACCUCUGGUGUUCCAGUUGUUCUGUCAAGGGCAUUGCUGGGUAGCUAAGUGCGGAACGGAUAAGCGCUGAAAGCAUCUAAGCGCCAAGCCACUCCUGAGAUUAAUUUUCCCUGAAGGAUCGUGGAAGACCACCACGUCGAUAGGCUGGGGGUAUAAGUGUAGUAAUACAUGUAGCUCACCAGUACUAAUCAUCCGAUCGACUUAAUUCCU